GAUCCUGGCUCAGAAUCAACGCUGGCGGCGUGCCUCAGACAUGCAAGUCGAACGAUUAAACUUCUCUUCGGAGAAGAUAUAAAGUGGCGCACGGGUGAGUAACACGUAGGUAAUCUACCUUUGAGUGGGGAACAACAGUCGGAAACGACUGCUAAUACCGCAUAAUGCAGCGGCAUCUACGGAUGACAGUUGUUAAAGCGAGCAAUCGCGCUUAAAGAGGAGCCUGCGGCAGAUUAGCUAGUUGGUAGGGUAAUGGCUUACCAAGGCUUCGAUCUGUAUCCGACCUGAGAGGGUGGUCGGACACACUGACACUGAAUAACGGGUCAGACUCCUACGGGAGGCAGCAGUCGGGAAUUUUGGGCAAUGGGCGAAAGCCUGACCCAGCAACGCCGCGUGAAGGAUGAAGUCUUUCGGGAUGUAAACUUCGUAAGAAUGGGAAGAAUAAAUGACGGUACCAUUUGUAAGGUCCGGCUAACUACGUGCCAGCAGCCGCGGUAAUACGUAGGGACCAAGCGUUGUUCGGAUUUACUGGGCGUAAAGGGCGCGUAGGCGGCGUGUUAAGUCAGCUGUGAAAUCUCCAAGCUUAACUUGGAACGGUCAGCUGAUACUGAUGUGCUAGAGUGCAGAAGGGGCAAUCGGAAUUCUUGGUGUAGCGGUGAAAUGCGUAGAUAUCAAGAGGAACACCUGAGGUGAAGACGGGUUGCUGGGCUGACACUGACGCUGAGGCGCGAAAGCUAGGGUAGCAAACG
rnacentral:rRNA from 1 species